GAUGAACGCUGGCGGCGUGCCUAAUACAUGCAAGUCGAGCGAACAGACGAGGCGCUUGCUCCUCUCUCGUUAGCGGCGCACGGGUGAGUAACACGUGGAUAACCUACCUAUAAUACUGGGAUAACUUCGGGAAACCGGAGCUAAUACCGGAUAAUAUAUUGAACCGCAUGGUUCAAUAGUGAAUGACGGUUUUUCUGUCUCUUAUAGAUGGAUCCCCGCCGCAUUAGCUAGUUGGUAAGGUAACGGCUUACCAAGGCAACGAUGCGUAGCCGACCUGAGAGGGUGAUCGGCCACACUGGAACUGAGACACGGUCCAGACUCCUACGGGAGGCAGCAGUAGGGAAUCUUCCGCAAUGGGCGAAAGCCUGACGGAGCAACGCCGCGUGAGUGAUGAAGGUCUUCGGAUCGUAAAACUCUGUUAUUAGGGAAGAACAAAUGUGUAAGUAACUAUGCACGUCUUGACGGUACCUAAUCAGAAAGCCACGGCUAACUACGUG
rnacentral:rRNA from 1 species